GAGCGGCGUACGGGUGCGGAACACGUGUGCAACUGCCUUUAUCUGGGGGAUAGCCUUUCGAAAGGAAGAUUAAUACCCCAUAAUAUGUUGAAUGGCAUCAUUCGACAUUGAAAACUCCGGUGGAUAGAGAUGGGCACGCGCAAGAUUAGAUAGUUGGUGAGGUAACGGCUCACCAAGUCUACGAUCUUUAGGGGGCCUGAGAGGGUGAUCCCCCACACUGGUACUGAGACACGGACCAGACUCCUACGGGAGGCAGCAGUGAGGAAUAUUGGACAAUGGGUGAGAGCCUGAUCCAGCCAUCCCGCGUGAAGGACGACUGCCCUAUGGGUUGUAAACUUCUUUUGUAUAGGGAUAAACCUACCCUCGCGAGGGUAGCUGAAGGUACUAUACGAAUAAGCACCGGCUAACUCCGUGCCAGCAGCCGCGGUAAUACGGAGGGUGCAAGCGUUAUCCGGAUUUAUUGGGUUUAAAGGGCCCGUAGGCGGAUCUGUAAGUCAGUGGUGAAAUCUCACAGCUUAACUGUGAAGCUGCCAUUGAUACUGCAGGUCUUGAGUGUUGUUGAAGUAGCUGGAAUAAGUAGUGUAGCGGUGAAAUGCAUAG
rnacentral:rRNA from 1 species